ensembl:lncRNA
ACGUCACUUCCGCCUCCAGCUUCAAACCUGGAAGAGAGCUUGGGGACUGCAACCUCAGCCAAGCUGAACGUCCUCAGGCAGAGAUUCUGGUUUACUCCCCAUGGCUACGGAGACGCCUUGGAGACCUUGGAGUCGGCUCAGCUUGAGGGAUGAAGGCCAAAAGGGGCCCAGAGCACAAGGCUGAGCGCCGCUGGGUUGGGGUCUCCAUGACCGAGCUGGUCUCAGCAAGUGGCGCCCAAACAUGGGGCUCGAAUCCGGGUUGAAGAGCGAUGGUUGGAGAAAGUGGAACUAUGCUGGAGGACACCCGAGUACUCUUAAGCAAUCCCCGUGUUUAAGACCUGGUGGAAGAUGAAGAUGAAGCUUCUACUCAAGCUGCCUGCAAUGCACAAGUUCAACCUCCAAUUAAUAUAACUACAGACUAACUUUUGGGAGUCAGUGGCUGGGCUGCAUUAGACGCACAAGUAAUCAUGCAGGAUGAUGCUAUAGAUCAGCUUACAGGAGUGUGCAUUAGAGCUUGGGAAAAAAAAAAUCUUCAGGUGGAGAACAAUACCCUUCUUUUAGUGCUGUUAAGCAGGGGCCAAAAGAACCUUAUGCAGAUUUUAUAGCUCAGUUACAGGAGUCUCUUAAAAAGGUGAUUGCAGAUUCGACUGCUCAGGAUAUAGUGUUGCUGUUAUUAGCUUUUGACAAUGCUAAUCCUGAGUGCCAGGCUGUUGUGUGACCUAUUAGAGGGAAAGCACAUUUAGUUAAUUAUAUCAAGGCCUGUGACAGUAUUGGAGGUAAUCUGCAUAAAGCUACUCUGUUAGUGCAAGCCAUGGCAGGGCUGAGAGUGGGUAAAGGAAAUGUUCCAUUUCCUGGAGCUUGUUUCUACUGUGGGAAACAUGGGCAUACAAAGAGAGAAUGUAGAAAAAAUCAGAGGGUCCAACCCCCCUUUGAUGGAAAAAAGAAAACUGCUGAACCAGGUCUACACCUGAAGUGUAAAAAGGAAAGCCUUUGGCCAAUCAGUGUCAUUCUAAAUUUGAUAAGGACGGAAACCCGAUUUCGAGAAAUGCCAUGAGGGGCCCGUCCCAGGCCACAUGUCAAACCAGGGCAUUCCUGGCUCAGGUCACUCCCUCACUCCUGUACAAUGCUUGUCCCCCGCCACAGCUGGUAGUGCCACAGUAGAUCUGUGUUUCACCAGGGCUAUGAGUCUAUGGCCUGGAAAGCCGACACAGAAAGUACCAACAGGAGUCUGCAGACCUCUGCCAGCAGGAACGAUAGGACUACUUCUGGGAAGAUCUAGUUUAAAAGGAGUGCAGGUUCAUACAGGAGUAAUUGAUUUGGAUUGUAAUGGGGAAAUUCAAAUUGUUAUAUCUACCUCCGUUCCUUAAAAGGCAGAGCUGGGACAGCAUAUAGUGCAGCUUCUGAUUUUACCAUAUGGGGGACUAGGAAAAAGUGAAACUAAAAGAACAAGGGUAUUUGGCAGUAUAAAUAAACAAGGGAGAGCCGCCUACUGGGUAAAUCAAAUUACUGAUAACUAUCCUACCUGUGAAAUAACUAUUCAAGGAAAUAAAUUUACAGGUUUGGUAGAUACAGGAGCAGACAUUUCAAUCAUUUCUCUACACUGG